UCCCGCUUUUAACUGAUUGCGGGUUGGCGGUGCCGGUGCCGGUGCAAGAGGAUAUUGCAUUGCACCACUACUUAAUUGCUGCGAUUCCGUGUAUUCUCGGCGCAGUUUAUAGAGGAAAACCCACACACAUUCGCACAGGAUUUCAAUUCUGUUCGCUGCCUUCUAAUCAAUCUCCCGCGUGCCUAUCAAGCUUAAGCAACGCGCGGCGAUGGCGUACAAGUUUUGAGCCUACUCUGGCCCCUUCUUCUUCCACAUUUUCCUAUUUAUACAAGGCUGCUUUUGCUUAUUGAUCUCUACCGAGUUUGGGUCGUCUGGAUAUUUACUCUACACCGGCAGAUUAUUCUUUCGUGCCCAGAUUUGUGUGUCUAUUGCUCUAGCUACGCAAACAUAUGUUGGGUGAGAGGAAAAAAGCUUGUCCUUCAGCUGUUGUUUGAAUGGUGCUUGCUGAUUCAAGGUUAGGAUCACACAGCGUAU